ACGUCUGAAUGCCUCGGGCCCU
rnacentral:piRNA from 1 species